UACGGAGGAUCCAAGCGUUAUCCGGAUUUAUUGGGUUUAAAGGGUGCGUAGGUGGCCUGUUAAGUCAGGGGUGAAAGACGGUAGCUUAACUAUCGCAGUGCCCUUGAUACUGAUGGGCUUGAAUGAACUAGAGGUAGGCGGAAUGUGACAAGUAGCGGCGAAAUGCAUAGAUAUGUCACAGAACACCAAUUGCGAAGGCAGCUUACUAUGGUUUUAUUGACACUGAGGCACGAAAGCGUGGGGAUCAAACAGG
rnacentral:rRNA from 1 species